AACGAACGCUGGCGGCAUGCCUAACACAUGCAAGUCGAGCGAGGACUUCGGUCCUAGCGGCGGACGGGUGUGUAACGCGUGGGAACGUGCCCUUUGCUUCGGAAUAGCUCUGGGAAAGUGGUAGUAAUACCGGAUGAGCCCUUUGGGCGAAAGAUUUAUCGACCAAGGAUGGGCCCGCGUUGGAUUAGGUAGUUGGUAGGGUAAUGGCCUACCAAGCCGACGAUUCAUAGCUGGUUUGAGAGGAUGAUUAGCCACACUGGGACUGAGACACGGCCCAGACUCCUACGGGAGGCAGCAGUGGGGAAUGUUGGACAAUGGGGGAAACCCUGAUCUAGCCAUGCCGCGUGAGCGAUGAAGGCCUUAGGGUUGUAAAGCGCUUUUAGCUGGGAAGAUAAUGACGGUACCAGCAGAAGAAGCCCCGGCUAACUCCGUG
rnacentral:rRNA from 1 species